GGACAGAUGGCCGAGUUGGUUAGUUUCCCACCAAGAGACGAGUCGUUGAGUUUGUGUAUUAACUAGUUGAUAAGGUUAUGGCGCCAGGUUAAGGUUUAUCUUAACAAUGUUUCCUGGUCACGAAAGUGGUGAGUUCAGUCUUAACUGCAUAAUAUUAAUAUCCAUCACUAACACAAUCCAUAGGCGUGGGUUCGAGUCCCACUCUGUUCA